rnacentral:rRNA from 1 species
CCUACGGGAGGCUGCAGUGGGGAAUAUUGGACAAUGGGCGAAAGCCUGAUCCAGCCAUGCCGCGUGUGUGAAGAAGGCCUUCGGGUUGUAAAGCACUUUCAGCGGGGAAGAAAGCCUUGGGGCUAAUACCCUCGAGGAAGGACAUCACCUACAGAAGAAGCACCGGCUAACUCCGUGCCAGCAGCCGCGGUAAUACGGAGGGUGCGAGCGUUAAUCGGAAUUACUGGGCGUAAAGCGCGCGUAGGCGGUCUGAUAAGCCGGUUGUGAAAGCCCCGGGCUCAACCUGGGAACGGCAUCCGGAACUGUCAGGCUAGAGUGCAGGAGAGGAAGGUAGAAUUCCCGGUGUAGCGGUGAAAUGCGUAGAGAUCGGGAGGAAUACCAGUGGCGAAGGCGGCCUUCUGGACUGACACUGACGCUGAGGUGCGAAAGCGUGGGUAGCAAACAGGAUUAGAUACCCUUGUAGUC